rnacentral:rRNA from 1 species
GUGCCAGCAGCUGCGGUAAUACCGGCAGCUCGAGUGAUGACCGCUGUUAUUGGGCCUAAAGCGUCCGUAGCUGGCCACGCAAGUUCGUCGGGAAAUCCAUCGGCUCAACCGAUGGGCGUCCGGCGAAAACUGCGUGGCUUGGGACCGGAAGGCUCGAGGGGUACGUCCGGGGUAGGAGUGAAAUCCCGUAAUCCUGGACGGACCACUGAUGGCGAAAGCACCUCGAGAAGACGGAUCCGACAGUGAGGGACGAAAGCUGGGGUCUCGAACCGGAUUAGAUACCCCAGUAGUCC